rnacentral:rRNA from 1 species
GUGCCAGCAGCCGCGGUAAUACGUAGGUGGCAAGCGUUGUCCGGAAUUACUGGGCGUAAAGGGCGUGUAGGCGGCCUUUUAAGUCAGGCGUGAAAUCCAUGGGCUUAACCCAUGAAUUGCGUUUGAAACUGGAGGGCUUGAGGAUCGGAGAGGGCAGUGGAAUUCCCAGUGUAGCGGUGAAAUGCGUAGAUAUUGGGAGGAACACCAGUGGCGAAGGCGACUGCCUGGACGACACCUGACGCUGAGGCGCGAAAGCUAGGGGAGCAAACGGGAUUAGAUACCCGUGUAGUCC